rnacentral:rRNA from 1 species
AUUGAACGCUGGCGGCAGGCCUAACACAUGCAAGUCGAACGGUAACAGGAAGAAGCUUGCUUCUUUGCUGACGAGUGGCGGACGGGUGAGUAAUGUCUGGGAAACUGCCUGAUGGAGGGGGAUAACUACUGGAAACGGUAGCUAAUACCGCAUAACGUCGCAAGACCAAAGAGGGGGACCUUCGGGCCUCUUGCCAUCGGAUGUGCCCAGAUGGGAUUAGCUAGUAGGUGGGGUAACGGCUCACCUAGGCGACGAUCCCUAGCUGGUCUGAGAGGAUGACCAGCCACCCUGGAACUGAGACACGGUCCAGACUCCUACGGGAGGCAGCAGUGGGGAAUAUUGCACAAUGGGCGCAAGCCUGAUGCAGCCAUGCCGCGUGUAUGAAGAAGGCCUUCGGGUUGUAAAGUACUUUCAGCGGGGAGGAAGGGAGUAAAGUUAAUACCUUUACUCAUUGACGUUACCCGCAGAAGAAGCACCGGCUAACUCCGUG